AACAAACGCUGGCGGCGUGCCUAAUACAUGCAAGUCGAACGGGGUAGCAAUACCUAGUGGCGCACGGGUGAGUAACGCGUGGAUAAUCUGCCUUAGAGUGGGGGAUAACUAGUCGAAGGAUUAGCUAAUACCGCAUAAGACCACAAGAACUGCGGUUCAAGGGGUCAAAGGUUUUUCGCUCUAAGAUGAGUCCGCGUAAGAUUAGCUAGUUGGUGAGGUAAUGGCUCACCAAGGCGACGAUCUGUAACUGGUCUGAGAGGAUGAUCAGUCACACUGGAACUGAGACACGGUCCAGACUCCUACGGGAGGCAGCAGUAGGGAAUAUUGCACAAUGGAGGAAACUCUGAUGCAGCGACGCCGCGUGAGUGAUGAAGGCCUUCGGGUCGUAAAGCUCUGUCGCAGGGGAAUAACACAAUGAAUGUACCCUGUAAGAAAGGAUCGGCUAACUUCGUGCCAGCCGCCGCAGUAAUAC
rnacentral:rRNA from 1 species